UACGUAGGGUGCAAGCGUUAAUCGGAAUUACUGGGCGUAAAGCGUGCGCAGGCGGCUUUGCAAGACAGAUGUGAAAUCCCCGGGCUUAACCUGGGAACUGCAUUUGUGACUGGCGGGCUAGAGUAUGGCAGAGGGGGGUAGAAUUCCACGUGUAGCAGUGAAAUGCGUAGAGAUGUGGAGGAAUACCGAUGGCGAAGGCAGCCCCCUGGGCCAAUACUGACGCUCAUGCACGAAAGCGUGGGGAGCAAACAGG
rnacentral:rRNA from 1 species